GCAUUUCGAGGCACUUUUUAGGAAACAUUGUGAUUGAUCCAAUAAGUAAAGCAAAGACCUAUUUUUGGGUUUAUUUUUGUGACUGAAUUUCAUGCACUUACACUGUAUGAUAAUUGUUCCAAAUGAUGGUGUAAUCAUGGUACUUCAAGCUGGGAUCAAACCACAGCUCGAUGUCUAUCUCGUCGUGAGAAUGGGGAUAAACAUCUGCAUUCGACAACUGAACGCGGCGUUCAUCUCGUUAGCUAUGCAUCAAACUGGUAAGCCAAACCGAGAACAGUAGAGAGAAAAAAAGAACUUACAUAAAAAGCCACCACAACCCCUGAAGUGAGACCUGAUGGAAGCUUAAUUGAAGCACUGAAGAAUCCAUAAUGAUAUUUGUUUCUGGAGACCAGACCAGCACCUCCAAA